rnacentral:rRNA from 1 species
AGCGAACGCUGGCGGCAGGCCUAACACAUGCAAGUCGAACGAACCUUUCGGGGUUAGUGGCGGACGGGUGAGUAACACGUGGGAACGUGCCUUUAGGUUCGGAUUAACUCAGGGAAACUUGUGCUAAUACCGAAUGUGCCCUUCGGGGGAAAGAUUAAUCGCCUUUAGAGCGGCCCGCGUCUGAUUAGCUAGUUGGUUGAGGUAAUGGCUCACCAAGGCGACGAUCAGUAGCUGGUCUGAGAGGAUGAUCAGCCACAUUGGGACUGAGACACGGCCCAAACUCCUACGGGAGGCAGGAGUGGGGAAUCUUGCGCAAUGGGCGAAAGCCUGACGCAGCCAUGCCGCGUGAAUGAUGAAGGUGUUAGGAUUGUAAAAUUCUUUAACCGGGGACGAUAAUGACGGUACCCGGAGAAGAAGCCCCGGCUAACUUCGUG